AAUGGCAUUCUUCACACCGUGGCGGAUCAUUUCUUGGGUAUAUGCAGCCAUUGUGAAUGACAUGAUAUUUUCAUACAAUAUUGUCAUGUUCAUGUGCUUGGCUAGUAUUUAACAUCCUCACUACUCAGCUGCGCCUGUAUUUUUUCCCUCUACUUGGAGCUCAACGAUCUCACCAAACUGCAGGACUUGGCCAGACUGAAGAUGGACACAAUGAUUUCUCUGCCCGCCUCAAGAGCGGCAAGACACCUUUGGAUCCCGGCCCACAUCUCCGUAUGUAAAUCGUGACACUAUGAAGAAGAGAGAAAGAUAACAAAACGAGGAUUUUAGGAUGCAAAAUCAACCCAUUUACACAACUCGCAACCAAAACCAGCCCGAGCCACAAUAUGGCUACAGUCAGUACUGAAUUAUUGGAGCAUGAUAUGAAAUGUCUUCUAACUCAUUACACGAUAAUAAAUCAUGAGAUGGUAAAUUCCAA